rnacentral:lncRNA from 1 species
UACAUCUAUAUAUGAAACUAUUCAAUAUCAACGGUUAGUCCAAGUCCUUGCAACGCCUUCAAAAAGUGGGACGUACGCACAUGAAUAUUCUCGAUCCCAACCAGUAAAGGCCACGUAUAUAUCAUGGAUUUUCUAUCGGUAGUUUUUUUUUUACCCACAUAAUACCCUUGCAAGUUGGUUCUGGGAAUUGUGUUUGUCGUCGUCAUUUGCAUCAAUGGAGUAUAGAACGAGGUUUGUGAAAAAAGUUGAAGGAGGAUUUUCUUUCUUUCUUUCUUUUAAUCUCAACUAGCACAGUGGCCGUGCGUUGCCACGGCCUCUUAAACAUGUGCACGCGAAAAUUCAUGUUUGGAUAGAGCCGGUGAGCCCUGAACCCCUUUGCUCAUCUCUUGCACGGGAAUCUAAUCCGGCGCCGACGCGUAUCAAGAGCGGUCACCGCAGGGAGCUGUUGCGCGCACAGUUAAGUCGGUGGUGGCGGCCUGGGAAGGCAGCCCCGUGGGAAUAGG